rnacentral:tRNA from 1 species
GGGGAUUAAGCUCAGUGGUAGAGUGCUUGCCUAGCAAGCACAAGGCCCUGGGUUCGGUCCCCAGCUCCG